GACGAACGCUGGCGGCGUGCUUAACACAUGCAAGUCGAACGGAAAGGCCCUGCUUUUGUGGGGUGCUCGAGUGGCGAACGGGUGAGUAACACGUGAGUAACCUGCCCUUGACUUUGGGAUAACUUCAGGAAACUGGGGCUAAUACCGGAUAGGAGCUCCUGCUGCAUGGUGGGGGUUGGAAAGUUUCGGCGGUUGGGGAUGGACUCGCGGCUUAUCAGCUUGUUGGUGGGGUAGUGGCUUACCAAGGGUUUGACGGGUAGCCGGCAUGAGAGGGUGACCGGCCACAUUGGGACUGAGAGACGGCCCAGACUCCUACGGGAGGCAGCAGUGGAGAAUAUUGCACAACGGGCGGAAGCCCGAUGCAGAAACGCCGCGUGCGGGAUGACGGCCUUCGGGUUGUAAACCGCUUUCGCCUGUGACGAAGCGUGAGUGACGGUAAUGGGUAAAGAAGCACCGGCUAACUACGUG
rnacentral:rRNA from 1 species